rnacentral:sRNA from 1 species
CAUUUAGAGGAAGUAAAAGUCGUAACAAGGUUUCCGUAGGUGAACCUGCGGAAGGAUCAUUAUCGUAACAACCCAGGGGCGGGGGGGGGCUGUCGGCUGACCCUUUCAGGGUCGUGCACGCCUUGGUGUGCCGUCCUCGAACAAAUCCACCUCACCUUUUGUGCAUCACCGCGUGGGUCCCUCGUCGAGAAAAGAGGGGCUUGCGUCUUUUACACACAGACCCGGUACAGAAUGUCUUUUACGUUUUAUUUAUGCGAUCAAUACAACUUUCAACAACGGAUCUCUUGGCUCUCGCAUCGAUGAAGAACGCAGCGAAAUGCGAUACGUAAUGUGAAUUGCAGAAUUCAGUGAAUCAUCGAAUCUUUGAACGCAUCUUGCGCCCCUUGGCAUUCCGAGGGGCACACCCGUUUGAGUGUCGUGAAAUCCUCAACCUUUCUUCCUUUUAUCGGAGAAAGGCUUGGACUUUGGAGGCUUUUUGCUGGCCCCUUUCAUUCGAAGCCGGCUCCUCUUAAAGGAAUUAGUGGGAUCCCCUUUUGCCGAUCCUUGACGUGGAUAAGCUUUUUCUUUGACGUCGCACGGAGAGAGGUGGAGAAGGCCUGCUUCUAAUCAGCCCUUUUGACCCUUUUGACCUCAAAUCGGGUGAGACUACCCGCUGAACUUAAGCAUAUCAAUAAGCGGAGGAAAAGAAACUA